GAUGAACGCUGGCGGCGUGCCUAAUACAUGCAAGUCGAGCGAACGGACGAGAAGAUUGCUUCUCUGAUGUUAGCGGCGGACGGGUGAGUAACACGUGGAUAACCUACCUAUAAGACUGGGAUAACUUCGGGAAACCGGAGCUAAUACCGGAUAAUAUUUUGAACCGCGUGGUUCAAAAGUGAAAGACGGUCUUGCUGUCACUUAUAGAUGGAUCCGCGCUGCAUUAGCUAGUUGGUAAGGUAACGGCUUACCAAGGCAACGAUGCAUAGCCGACCUGAGAGGGUGAUCGGCCACACUGGAACUGAGACACGGUCCAGACUCCUACGGGAGGCAGCAGUAGGGAAUCUUCCGCAAUGGGCGAAAGCCUGACGGAGCAACGCCGCGUGAGUGAUGAAGGUCUUCGGAUCGUAAAACUCUGUUAUUAGGGAAGAACAUAUGUGUAAGUAACUGUGCACAUCUUGACGGUACCUAAUCAGAAAGCCACGGCUAACUACGUG
rnacentral:rRNA from 1 species